UACGUAUGGUGCGAACGUUGUUCGGAAUCACUGGGCAUAAAGAGCACGUAGGCGGUUGGAAAAGUCUGAUGUGAAAUCCCCCAGCCUAACUGGGGAACUGCAUCAGAAACUGUCUGACUAGAGUGCAGGAGGGGAGAGUGGAAUUCCAGGUGGAGCGGUGAAAUGCGUAGAUAUCUGGAGGAACGCCGGCGGCGAAAGCGACUCUCUGGUCUGCAACUGACGCUGAGGUGCGAAAGCUAGGGGAGCAAACGGG
rnacentral:rRNA from 1 species